AACGAACGCUGGCGGCAUGCCUAACACAUGCAAGUCGAACGAAGGCUUCGGCCUAGUGGCGCACGGGUGCGUAACGCGUGGGAAUCUGCCCUUAGGUUCGGAAUAACAGCUGGAAACGGCUGCUAAUACCGGAUGAUAUCGCGAGAUCAAAGAUUUAUCGCCUGAGGAUGAGCCCGCGUUGGAUUAGGUAGUUGGUGGGGUAAAGGCCUACCAAGCCGACGAUCCAUAGCUGGUCUGAGAGGAUGAUCAGCCACACUGGGACUGAGACACGGCCCAGACUCCUACGGGAGGCAGCAGUGGGGAAUAUUGGACAAUGGGCGAAAGCCUGAUCCAGCAAUGCCGCGUGAGUGAUGAAGGCCCUAGGGUUGUAAAGCUCUUUUACCCGGGAAGAUAAUGACUGUACCGGGAGAAUAAGCCCCGGCUAACUCCGUGCCAGCAGCCGCAGUAAAAC
rnacentral:rRNA from 1 species